GAUGAACGCUGGCGGCGUGCCUAAUACAUGCAAGUCGAGCGAACAGACGAGGAGCUUGCUCCUUCGACGUUAGCGGCGGACGGGUGAGUAACACGUAGGUAACCUACCUAUAAGACUGGGAUAACUUCGGGAAACCGGAGCUAAUACCGGAUAAUAUUUCGAACCGCAUGGCUCGAUAGUGAAAGAUGGCUUUGCUAUCACUUAUAGAUGGACCUGCGCCGUAUUAGCUAGUUGGUAAGGUAACGGCUUACCAAGGCAACGAUACGUAGCCGACCUGAGAGGGUGAUCGGCCACACUGGAGCUGAGACACGGUCCAGACUCCUACGGGAGGCAGCAGUAGGGAAUCUUCCGCAAUGGGCGAAAGCCUGACGGAGCAACGCCGCGUGAGUGAUGAAGGUCUUCGGAUCGUAAAACUCUGUUAUUAGGGAAGAACAAACGUGUAAGUAACUGUGCACGUCUUGACGGUACCUAAUCAGAAAGCCACGGCUAACUACGUG
rnacentral:rRNA from 1 species